CCCUUAGAUGUUCGGGGCCGCACGCGCGCUACUCUGAAGGAAUCAGCACGUCUUUCUCCUUGUCCGAAAGGACUGGGUAACCCGCUGAACCUCCUUCGUGCUAGGGAUUGGGGCUUGUAAUUCUUCCCCAUGAACGAGGAUUUCCCAGUAAGCGCGAGUCAUAAGCUCGCGUUGAUUACGUCCCUGCCCUUUGUACACACCGCCCGUCGCUACUACCGAUUGGAUGGUUUAGUGAGAUCCUCGGAUUGGUCCCGGAGCGGCCUCUGGUCGUGCCGGAGUGCCGAAAAGAAUGUCGAACUUGAUCAUCUAGAGGAAGUAAAAGUCGUAACA
rnacentral:rRNA from 1 species